UACGUAGGGUGCAAGCGUUGUCCGGAAUUAUUGGGCGUAAAGAGCUCGUAGGCGGUUUGGUCGCGUCGCUGUGAAAACCUGGGGCUCAACCCCGGGCCUGCAGCCAUCGGGCAAACUAGAAUUCGGUAGGGGAGACUGGAAUUCCUGGUGUAGCGGUGAAAUGCGCAGAUAAUCAGGAGGAACACCGGUGGCGAAGGCGGGUCUCUGGGCAGUAACUGACGCUGAGGAGCGAAAGCGUGGGGAGCGAACAGG
rnacentral:rRNA from 1 species